rnacentral:rRNA from 1 species
AACGAACGCUGGCGGCAGGCUUAACACAUGCAAGUCGAGCGAGACCUUCGGGUCUAGCGGCGGACGGGUGAGUAACGCGUGGGAACGUGCCCUUCUCUACGGAAUAGCCCCGGGAAACUGGGAGUAAUACCGUAUACGCCCUUUGGGGGAAAGAUUUAUCGGAGAAGGAUCGGCCCGCGUUGGAUUAGGUAGUUGGUGGGGUAAUGGCCCACCAAGCCGACGAUCCAUAGCUGGUUUGAGAGGAUGAUCAGCCACACUGGGACUGAGACACGGCCCAGACUCCUACGGGAGGCAGCAGUGGGGAAUCUUAGACAAUGGGGGUAACCCUGAUCUAGCCAUGCCGCGUGAGUGAUGAAGGCCUUAGGGUUGUAAAGCUCUUUCAGCUGGGAAGAUAAUGACGGUACCAGCAGAAGAAGCCCCGGCUAACUCCGUG